rnacentral:rRNA from 1 species
GACGAACGCUGGCGGCGUGCCUAAUACAUGCAAGUCGAACGCAGUGGGGACGGGUGAGUAACACGUGGGUAACCUCCCAUCAGAGGGGAUAACACUUGGAAACAGGUGCUAAACCGAUACUGAUGGAUGGACCCGCGGUGCAUUAGCUAGUUGGUGAGGUAACGGCUCACCAAGGCCACGAUGCAUAGCGGACCGGGGAGGUUGACCGGCCACAUGGGGAUGGAGACACGGCCCAGACCCCUACGGGAGGCAGCAGUAGGGAAUCUUGGGCAAUGGACAAAAGUCUGACCGAGCAACGCCGCGGGAGGGAAGAAGUUUUUCGGACCGUAAACCUUGGUUGUUAAAGAAGCGGUAUCUAACCAGAAAGCCACGGCUAACUACGUGCCAGCCGCCGCGGUAAUAC